rnacentral:rRNA from 1 species
GAUGAACGCUAGCGGCAGGCUUAAUACAUGCAAGUCGAGGGGCAGCACGAAUAGCAAUAUUUGGUGGCGACCGGCGCACGGGUGCGUAACACGUAUACAACCUACCUAUAACAGGGGGAUAGCCUUUCGAAAGAGAGAUUAAUACCCCGUAAUAAAUUGAGUGGCAUCACUUGAUUUUGAAAGCUACGGCGGUUAUAGAUGGGUAUGCGUCUGAUUAGCUAGUUGGUGAGGUAACGGCUCACCAAGGCGACGAUCAGUAGGGGAUCUGAGAGGACUAACCCCACACUGGUACUGAGACACGGACCAGACUCCUACGGGAGGCAGCAGUAAGGAAUAUUGGUCAAUGGAGGCAACUCUGAACCAGCCAUGCCGCGUGCAGGAUGACGGCCCUAUGGGUUGUAAACUGCUUUUGUACCAGAGAAAACCUACUCACGUGUGAGUAGCUGAUAGUAUGGUAAGAAUAAGCAUCGGCUAACUUCGUGCCAG